CAAAGGUUCGGUCCUGGCCUUAUAAUUAAUUGGAGGUAAGAUUACACAUGCAAACAUCCAUGCACCGGUGUAAAAUCCCUUAGAUAUUUAAAACAAAGUUUAAGGAGAAGGUAUCAAGCACAUUUUAUAGCUCAAAACACCUUGCCUAGCCACACCCCCACGGGACUCAGCAGUGAUAAAUAUUAAGCAAUAAACGAAAGUUUGACUAAGCUAUACCUCUUAGGGUUGGUAAAUUUCGUGCCAGCCACCGCGGUCAUACGAUUAACCCAAAUUAAUUAUUCUCGGCGUAAAACGUGGUAACUAUAACUAAAACAAUAGAAUUAAAACCCAACUAAUAUGUGAAAAUUCAUUGUUAGGACCUAAAAACAAUAACGAAGGUAAUUCUAAUUUUACUUACACGAUAGCUAAGAUCCAAACUGGGAUUAGAUACCCCACUAUGCUUAGCCCUAAACUUAAAUAAUUCAAUAACAAAAAUAUUUGCCAGAGAACUACUGGCCACAGCUUAAAACUCAAAGGACCUGGCGGUACUUUAUAUCCAUCUAGAGGAGCCUGUUCUAUAAUCGACACCCCCCGCUAUACCUCACCAUCUCUUGCUAAUUCAGCCUAUAUACCGCCAUCUUCAGCAAACCCUAAAAAGGCAUAAAAGUAUGCACAAUAAUAAACAUAAGUACGUUAGGUCAAGGUGUAGCCAAUGGGAUGGGAAGAAAUGGGCCACAUUUUCUUUUAUAAGAACACUUACGAAACCCUUUAUGAAACUAAAGGAUAAAGGAGGAUUUAGUAGUAAAUUAAGAAUAGAGUGCUUAAUUGAAUAGUGCAAUGAAGUACGUACACACCGCCCGUCACCCUCCUCAAAUCAAACAAACAUAAUUAUUUAUAUAAUUUAAUAUGUUUAUGAGAGGAGAUAAGUCGUAACAAGGUAAGCCUACUGGAAAGUGUGCUUGGAAUAAC
rnacentral:ncRNA from 1 species